UACGUAGGUGGCAAGCGUUGUCCGGAUUUAUUGGGUUUAAAGGGUGCGUAGGCGGCUUAAUAAGUCAGUGGUGAAAGCCGGUAGCUUAACUAUCGAAAUGCCAUUGAUACUGCUAGGCUUGAGUACAGUUGAGGUAGGCGGAAUUGACAGUGUAGCGGUGAAAUGCUUAGAUAUUGUCAAGAACACCAAUUGCGAAGGCAGCUUACUAAAGUGUAACUGACGCUGAGGCACGAAAGUGCGGGGAUCAAACAGG
rnacentral:rRNA from 1 species